GGCGCACUUCCUAGUGUCGCCGGUAGAGGGCGCAGGCCGCGGAGCCGCUCGCAGAGCCGGGAAGCCGGGAGGAGCGGGCGCAGCCCCACUCGCCCCAGCCGCCGCCAUGAGAGCCGUGGUGCAGCGCGUCACCCGGGCCAGCGUCACAGUUGGAGAAGAGCAGAUAAGUGCCAUUGGACGGGGCAUCUGUGUGUUGCUGGGCAUUUCUCUGGAAGAUACACAGAAGGAACUGGAGCACAUGGUCCGAAAGAUUUUAAACUUACGUGUGUUUGAGGAUGAGAGUGGAAAGAACUGGUCGAAGAGUGUGAUGGACAAACAGUAUGAGGUGCUGUGUGUCAGCCAGUUCACCCUCCAGUGUGUCCUCAAGGGCAACAAGCCCGACUUCCACCUGGCAAUGCCCACGGAGCAGGCAGAGAGCUUCUAUAACAGCUUCUUGGAGCAGCUGCGCAAGACGUACCGGCCGGAGCUCAUCAAAGAUGGCAAGUUUGGUGCCUACAUGCAAGUCCACAUUCAGAACGAUGGGCCUGUGACCAUAGAACUGGAAUCUCCAGCUCCUGGCGCUGCUGCCUCCGACCCAAAGCAGCUGUCAAAGCUGGAAAAACAACAGCAGAGGAAAGAAAAGACCAGAGCCAAAGGGCCUUCUGAAUCAAGCAAAGAACGAAACGCUCCUCGCAAAGAAGACCGCAGUGCCAGCAGUGGGGCCGAGGGAGACGUGUCCUCUGAGCGGGAACCAUAGGCUGCCGGAUGGAGCUCAGGAACACGUCUCAGUCCACGCAGUGAUUUGACAUGAACUCCACUUCCCUGCUUGAAGAUCAGAGGCCUCUAAAACUUGAUCCAGCCAUCUGCUGGCCCUUUGCUUAAGUUCAUUCCCUAGUGAACACUUUAUCAAGAGCCUCUUUCUUGUCUGAGUUCUCAAGAUCGGGGAGAAGCACAGAAUGCGUUAUCAUUGGCAGAACUGGAUCCUGAAAAAUUCAUGAAAGAUGCUAAGCACCUACACUGCUUUAAGAAUCUGGAACUGAAUCGCGAAAAGGCAGACAGAAUUAAGAAAUUGGGAACCUGAAGAGCCCUGCAGAAGAAACACACACCAAAGGAACAUUACUGCUUUCUGUAGUUGCUGUGGUCCAAGGGAGGAGAUGCGUGCUGCCAGGCAGGGAUUGUGCCCUGCAGGGCAGACACCUGCACCUCCCUCACAAGAAGGUUUUGUUAGUUCCUAUGAUGUCUUGGCUUACUUUUGGAACAAGUGGGCUCAACAUCAUUUGUCAUCGAGUUCUCCUUUCACACUGUGGUUCAUUUCUGCUUGUCCACGAUGGGUCUCAAAUGCAUUCAUGCUGUCCAUGUUCUUCCCAACACUGGCCAAGUCAGGGCCUGUGUGUUAAGGUGUAAAGAGAACUGUCACCAAUGAUAACGUAUUGUGUGAGACCUUUGUGUCUUGUAAAUUUCCUCUUUUUUCUAAAAAUAAAUAAUAAAAUGAUAA